UAUGUAAAGUUAAUAAAAUUGCCUGUUAUCUUUUUCUGAACAGCCAGAUUCUUCUUCCUUUGGGGGUUCAUGGCCCAUCCUGUGACCAGGAGCUGUGACUGCCACUGCCACCGAGUUUCUGGGAAAGAAGAAGAUGCUUCUCCUGCUAGAGCCACGAUUCCUCUGUCGGGUUGGCGUUGGCAGCUGGAUUAUCAAAAUGCCUCGAGAAAAUACUUCCAUGCAAUAUUCUUCAUGCAAUCAAAAGCUGUUAGCACUGAAAAUCUUCCCCCCAAAAAGGAUUUUCCUGAGCUGGUUUGAAAACCAAAGCAUGGAGAUGCACAUAAAUUAUUACACUGUCAUUUAAUCUGGAGUCAGUCCAGUGCGAACCCUGAACGCCUGGAGUCGGUCCAGCCGAGUGGCAGGAACAAGGCCGCGAGUCCUAGUAAACACCACAUGAUUUCUGGUAUUUGCAGGGCAUCUGUUUUCCCUGCCCUUGCAGUACCUUUGUCUGGUCUGGAGAAGAUCCUGGGUGACUGGUGAUUUUAUUACGGCCUGGCACAUUUGAGGGCGAGCCACUCGGCUUGUCAGCCUGCUCCCAGAAGAAAAGCCUCAGUGAAGAAACCUUGCUCUGGGCUUUGAAAUCUGAACUGCAGCCAAUUCCAGCGGAGGGAUGUGACGAUCGCCUUUUGCUGUGAAGUUGCCAUCUGAACAAUGACACUGUUGUGUGGUUUGAAAAGACGACGAGCCAUGAGAAGGAUAAGUGUCUAUCGUGUAUGUGCCUGGGUGGGUAUCGGUUAGAAAGAAAUCCUGGCCCUCACCCUUUCCUGAGACACUGCACCUCAAAAUCCGCCUUGGGAGCUGUUUCCAAGGGACACAUAUGCAUCCCAAGUUUUCUGCUUGUGGAGAACUUGUUUUUUACAAGCUCGGUUUUGCUAGACCAUCUGGUCAUGCUUGUGCUCCUUUGAAAGCUACGCCUUAUUACAUGGUCCUGGGAACGCGAGAAGAAAAGCUGGGGAGGGGAGAAGGGAGGGGGAUUUAUGAGAGCUGU